CGAAACCGCAUGGUUUUGAUUUGAAAGGCGCUUUCGGGUGUCGCUGAUGGAUGGACCCGCGGUGCAUUAGCUAGUUGGUGAGGUAACGGCUCACCAAGGCCACGAUGCAUAGCCGACCUGAGAGGGUGAUCGGCCACAUUGGGACUGAGACACGGCCCAAACUCCUACGGGAGGCAGCAGUAGGGAAUCUUCGGCAAUGGACGAAAGUCUGACCGAGCAACGCCGCGUGAGUGAAGAAGGUUUUCGGAUCGUAAAACUCUGUUGUUAGAGAAGAACAAGGAUGAGAGUAACUGUUCAUCCCUUGACGGUAUCUAACCAGAAAGCACGGCUAACUACGUGCCAGCAGCCGCGGUAAUACGUAGGUGGCAAGCGUUGUCCGGAUUUAUUGGGCGUAAAGCGAGCGCAGGCGGUUUCUUAAGUCUGAUGUGAAAGCCCCCGGCUCAACCGGGGAGGGUCAUUGGAAACUGGGAGACUUGAGUGCAGAAGAGGAGAGUGGAAUUCCAUGUGUAGCGGUGAAAUGCGUAGAUAUAUGGAGGAACACCAGUGGCGAAGGCGGCUCUCUGGUCUGUAACUGACGCUGAGGCUCGAAAGCGUGGGGAGCAAACAGGAUUAGAUACCCUGGUAGUCCACGCCGUAAACGAUGAGUGCUAAGUGUUGGAGGGUUUCCGCCCUUCAGUGCUGCAGCUAACGCAUUAAGCACUCCGCCUGGGGAGUACGACCGCAAGGUUGAAACUCAAAGGAAUUGACGGGGGCCCGCACAAGCGGUGGAGCAUGUGGUUUAAUUCGAAGCAACGCGAAGAACCUUACCAGGUCUUGACAUCCUUUGACCACUCUAGAGAUAGAGCUUCCCCUUCGGGGGCAAAGUGACAGGUGGUGCAUGGUUGUCGUCAGCUCGUGUCGUGAGAUGUUGGGUUAAGUCCCGCAACGAGCGCAACCCUUAUUGUUAGUUGCCAUCAUUCAGUUGGGCACUCUAGCAAGACUGCCGGUGACAAACCGGAGGAAGGUGGGGAUGACGUCAAAUCAUCAUGCCCCUUAUGACCUGGGCUACACACGUGCUACAAUGGGAAGUACAACGAGUUGCGAAGUCGCGAGGCUAAGCUAAUCUCUUAAAGCUUCUCUCAGUUCGGAUUGCAGGCUGCAACUCGCCUGCAUGAAGCCGGAAUCGCUAGUAAUCGCGGAUCAGCACGCCGCGGUGAAUACGUUCCCGGGCCUUGUACACACCGCCCGUCACACCACGAGAGUUUGUAACACCCGAAGUCGGUGAGGUAACCUUUUUGGAGCCAGCCGCCU
rnacentral:rRNA from 1 species